rnacentral:rRNA from 1 species
GCCAGACUCCUACGGGAGGCAGCAGUGGGGGAUAUUGCACAAUGGGGGGAACCCUGAUGCAGCGACGCCGCGUGGGUGAAGAAGUAUUUCGGUAUGUAAAGCCCUAUCGGCAGGGAAGAAUUUAGACGGUACCUGACUAAGAAGCCCCGGCUAACUACGUGCCAGCAGCCGCGGUAAUACGUAGGGGGCAAGCGUUAUCCGGAUUCACUGGGUGUAAAGGGAGCGUAGACGGCCAUGCAAGCCUGGAGUGAAAGCCCGGGGCCCAACCCCGGGACUGCUCUGGGAACUGUGCGGCUGGAGUGCGGGAGGGGCAGGCGGAAUUCCUGGUGUAGCGGUGAAAUGCGUAGAUAUUAGGAGGAACACCAGUGGCGAAGGCGGCUUACUGGACUGUAACUGACGUUGAGGCUCGAAAGCGUGGGGAGCAAACAGGAUUAGAUACCCUAGUA